CCUACGGGAGGCAGCAGUGAGGAAUAUUGGUCAAUGGACGAGAGUCUGAACCAGCCAAGUAGCGUGAAGGAUGACUGCCCUAUGGUUUGUAAACUUCUUUUAUAUGGGAAUAAAAUGUUCCACGUGUGGGAUUUUGUAUGUACCAUAUGAAUAAGGAUCGGCUAACCCCGUGCCAGCAGCCGCGGUAAUACGGAGGAUCCGAGCGUUAUCCGGAUUUAUUGGGUUUAAAGGGAGCGUAGGUGGAUUGUUAAGUCAGUUGUGAAAGUUUGCGGCUCAACCGUAAAAUUGCAGUUGAAACUGGCAGUCUUGAGUACAGUAGAGGUAGGCGGAAUUCGUGGUGUAGCGGUGAAAUGCUUAGAUAUCACGAAGAACUCCGAUUGCGAAGGCAGUUCACUGGACUGCAACUGACACUGAGGCUCGAAAGUGUGGGUAUCAAACAGGAUUAGAUACCCCUGUAGUC
rnacentral:rRNA from 1 species